CUACCUGAAGGCUCGAAAUGAGAAACAGGAAGCAGAUGAUGAUCACCUUCGUCGCUCUGGUUGUGGUGUUGCAGGUAUUCGUAGUGACCAAGACAGAAGACCUUCCUGGAAUACUGGACAAAUUGAGAAGAGGAAGACCUGCUCCUCCAAGGGCGUCACCUUCCGAAGAUCCAAACCUGGGGCCGACCAGAGGAAUAGCUGGCGGGAUCACAGCCAUCUUCCCAUCAGUGGCAGCGCUGUUCUCCAGAGCCUUCGGAGGCAGGAAAGGCGAUUUCCCGCCGCCCAAAAUCGUCUUCGGAAAGUAGCUGAAACUAGAUAGCGAUUGUUUCAGGAGUUUGAAAUAUGAG